GCUUACAAUUUAAGUUUGUCGGUUUUAUCUGAAUCCCUACUUUAGAACAAAAAUUAGAAAAUAUUUUCCUUCUAUUUGAUAGACCCGAUUUCGACCUGAUUUAAGAGGAAGGAGAAAACACAAGUGUUGUAUUGUCAAGGUUGGGCGAAAGGACAUCAGACAGUAGAGAAGGAAGAUGAGUUCUCCAGUACCCAGAAGAGAGAGUCCAUGGGGUUUGCCAGAAGGUGAUAACAGACAACCUAAGGCUCAUAGAUGCAACGACCGUGUUGAGGAUGUUAUUCAGGCAUGUUUUGAAGGCAAUCCAUUUAAAACGAUACCGGGGCCUUUCAAGCUAUUCUGGCGGUGCAUGCGUUCUAAGCCUGGGGAAGAGCCUACUGAGCCAUUCUACUACUUGCAAUUGGAACCUCCCAAGAGAGAAGUGAACCUUGAGUAGAGCUUCGUUUUUGUUAAUUUCUAAACCUGUAAUGAGGUUGUUUAUGAAUCUUAUCACUCUAGGUUGUGUUACUUGGUGACAACAAUCUGCACUUCAGAAGGUGGUUCAUGGCGCAAAUUUCCCUCAAUGAAGAUUGGAAGUUCAUGUUAUUUUAUUUCCUGUUUCUGAAUAAGCACGAAUAUCUAAUAUGAAAUGAUGUUGAUACAGAUAGAAUUUUGAGAUACUAUACUGUUCUGUUCAUGUCGAAGCAAUGGUACAAUUGCG
rnacentral:misc_RNA from 1 species